rnacentral:lncRNA from 1 species
GAUAUCACUGCAGUCUUGAACACUCUAGGGAAGGCAUUGUCAUUAAUCUGACCUAGUUCUGCUGCCAAGAGAGUUUCUCAGAUGUGAGUCUGGAGGGAAGGGGAGGGAAAGGGAGAAAGAAGAGAGGAGAGGAAGGAGUUUGAGGAGCCCAUAACAGAAACAGGGAGGAUCAGCUGCUGGAAUGGUUAACCUGGGGCCAUCUGAGCUUGCAGCCAAUCACAGUGCCUGGCAGGAAAUACCUGCUUGGGAGAUUCCCCAAGAGUCCUCCAGCCCAGCCCUGCCUUGGCCCAGGACUUCUGGUGACCAGCUGCAGUCCAAUUCUCUUCUUUCUCCCUUCCUGAGACCAAGAUCUACACCAGGAGGCCCCCACUGCUCCCUUCAACCAGGCCCCCAGAGAUCCAUAGCCCAGCCCCACAAGUCCCCACCUCCACCUUCACCUCCAGGAA